CUCAAUGGUGGCUGUGCGCAGGGCGCCUUCGGGUGCGCCGGUUUCUUGGAUCCCCGGUCUACUAACCUGCGUACAGCUGCCACUCUC
rnacentral:antisense_RNA from 1 species